rnacentral:rRNA from 1 species
GGGCCCGCACAAGCGGUGGAGUAUGUGGUUUAAUUCGAUGCAACGCGAAGAACCUUACCAGGGUUUGACAUCCUGCGAAUCUCUUGGAAACAGGAGAGUGCCUUCGGGAACGCAGUGACAGGUGGUGCAUGGCUGUCGUCAGCUCGUGUUGUGAAAUGUUGGGUUAAGUCCCGCAACGAGCGCAACCCUUAUCCUUGUUUGCCAGCGAGUAAUGUCGGGAACUCCAGGGAGACUGCCGGUGAUAACCGGAGGAAGGUGGGGACGACGUCAAGUCAUCAUGGCCCUUACGAGUAGGGCUACACACGUGCUACAAUGGCGCAUACAGAGGGCGGCCAACUUGCGAGAGUGAGCGAAUCCCAAAAAGGUGCGUCGU